rnacentral:rRNA from 1 species
AACGAACGUUAGCGGCGCGCUUAACACAUGCAAGUCGAACGCGAUUGGGGGAAGCUCCAGUCGAGUGGCGCACGGGUGAGUAACACGUAGGUAAUCUACCCUCGAGUGGUGAACAACCUUCCGAAAGGAGGGCUAAUGCAGCAUAAGACCACGGCUUCGAAAGGAGCUGAGGUCAAAGCGGAGAAUCGCAAGACUUCGCGCUUGGGGAUGAGCCUGCGGCCCAUCAGGUAGUGGCGGAGUAAAAGACCCACCCAAGCCAUAGACGGGUAGCUGGUCUGAGAGGAUGACCAGCCACACUGGAACUGAGACACGGUCCAGACUCCUACGGGAGGCAGCAGUGGGGAAUCUUGCGCAAUGGACGAAAGUCUGACGCAGCGACGCCGCGUGGGUGAUGAAGGCC